rnacentral:rRNA from 1 species
UACGUAGGGUGCAAGCGUUAAUCGGAAUUACUGGGCGUAAAGCGUGCGCAGGCGGUUAUGCAAGACCGAUGUGAAAUCCCCGGGCUUAACCUGGGAAUUGCAUUAGUGACUGCAUGGCUAGAGUGUGUCAGAGGGGGGUAGAAUUCCACGUGUAGCAGUGAAAUGCGUAGAGAUGUGGAGGAAUACCGAUGGCGAAGGCAGCCCCCUGGGAUAACACUGACGCUCAUGCACGAAAGCGUGGGGGAGCAAACAGG